CUAUACAUUACAACACUAUUGACCUUUUUCCUUGUCUUUACAGCUGGCAUGAUCCAAGACUCGUAAUACUUGUUUACCAAAAACCAUCCAAGCUAUGGGAUUGAAGGUAACGGCGAGUUUGUCGCUAAGAUUGGAAUCUUUCUUCAACACAUCAUCGACCGUAAAAAACUUAAGGGACACGAGAGAACAAAAUACGGAUGAAACGUGCUAAUUCUACCGUCACUCUGCUAAUCAGCUAAUGCAAAUCAGAGCGAUGCAGCAGGAAGAGGAACGGGAACUUGCUUCGGAAAUGCUCAUCAAACUGAGGUGGUUGAGGCUGCGAUUAAAAUUUGCCUCUUGUACGCAAUUUAUAGAAUGAUUCCAACGAGAAUUAUUGAUGCUGUUUAUAGAAAAAGUUAUUAGUAUAAUGUAUUCUAAGUAAGUAGAAUUAAACGCAAUCAAAUACAAUUUUUUAAAUUGAAAAUAA